CCUUACGGCCAUACCACCCUGAUCACGCCCGAUCUCGUCUGAUCUCGGAAGCUAAGCAGGGUCGGGCCUGGUUAGUACUUGCAUGGGUGACCGCCUGGGAAUACCAGGUGCUGUAAGCU
ensembl:rRNA 5S_rRNA 5S ribosomal RNA